rnacentral:sRNA from 1 species
AUGUGAAAUAUCCGACUUCGUCGGAUGUGAAAUAUUUGCCUUCGGCAAAUGUGAAAUAUGCCCUCCGGGCAUGUGAUAGUUACU